AGAAUGAACUUUUAUACUAUAUCAUUCCAUCAAACAAGUAGGGAAAAACAAAUUAUUCCAACAUUUAAUACUCGUAAAAGUAGGUAGAAGGAAGACUUGCCUAGUACGAUUUAUCUUCCUCUCAGGUUCGCAAACUAUUACACAAAAGCGGGAUUUACCAUUUUCGUAGCAGAAGGACAGCGACGGCAGGAUCCCUUGUCAACCAAAAAAAAAGUAGACUGAAGAUCAAAAAUGGUCUUGAAUACAACAAAACUUUUAUUUUACAUCAAGAACAUAUAUCAUA
rnacentral:lncRNA from 1 species